AUCGAAACAAAUAAAACCUUGCUUUAGUUCGAAUCGAAAAAAUAUGGUUGAGUAGUGUAACAGAUUGAGCAAUUGAGCCAAAAGGGGUGUGGCCAUUGCAACCCCUGCUGCACCAUCCAACUAAAGAGUCGACAAACAAUUUCAUUAACCAAACUCAGUGACUACGCACUCGUAUUCAAAUUCAAAUUCAAAUUCAAAUUCAAAUCCUCAGCUGCAACCCCAUCUAUCCGGAGUCGUCGUAUAUGCACACUCAGACAAGGACUUUGAAGAGCCCAUUUAUGUUGAAAUAAUUCCAUGGGGGUGUGUGUGCACAGAUUUCGUUUCAGCCCUAUAACAAUUAUGUACAUAUAAUUAUGUAUAUUUAUGCAUAGCUACAUCAACCCACUUAUGUAUGAUUGUUCUUAUGAGACUAGAUGGACACAUAGCUAAUCGAUUAUGUAUGCAGCACAGUAACCCAAAUAUCCCAAAUAUCCCAAAUAUCCAUUACUGAAAAUGUAUAAGUCGAAAAUCGCCAUGCUAAAAUAAAGUAAAAAAAUAAAUAAAUUAAUAAGAGACAAAAUCUUGCAAGGAACAUAAGGUUCAAG
rnacentral:lncRNA from 1 species